GACCAGAGCCCUCUCUCUCUCCCUCUCCACACCAUGAGAGGACACAGCAAGAAGGUGGCCGUCUGCAAGCCAGGAAGUAGGUCCUCACCAUUCACCAAAUCUGCUGGUGCCUUGAUCUUGGACUCCAGAACUGUGAGAACUAAUUCCUGCUGUUUAAGCCCUCCAGUCUGUGGUAUUUUGUCCUGGCAGCCUGAGCUGACUCAUGCAGGAUAGAGGGCAAGUCUGGAAAGUGGCCAAGAAGGAGACCCUGCCUGAACAGUCCCCCCAGCAAGAGUGUCCAUGUACCCAUCGGCGCCUAACAGGAUGGGAUGCUGAAACGUACCUCAGGCAAUCACCUGCCCUCCAUGGCUGGCAGGAGGAGAUUUGGAGAAAAGCCACCCAAGGCUGACACGGCAGCUCCGUCAUGUAACCAGGUUCCAGGUUUCUUCUAUAUCCCUGUUCUGUCACGCUUGGCAAGAUGGUUCCCAUCUGUAACUACCAGCUCUGUGUCCUGGGGAGAAGGGCAAAGGGCAAAGGUCAAAAUGAUCCCUGGCAGUUACUUCUCGGAGAAGCUUUCCUGCAUGCCCUGCCCAGGGGCUCCACCUGCAUCUGAUUGGCUGAAACGUGUCACCGGGUCAGUCGUAGCUGCAAGGGAGUCUGGGAGGCUGGGUGCCUGAAGUGCACACUGCUGCCCUGAACAAAACCUGGGCUGUUACAAGGAAUGGACGGUGGGCUGUGUUUGCUCCAGCUGCCGAUGCCUCAAACCUGCCUUCCGCUAUUUCAUGUUGCCAAGUAACAGUCAUCUCCUUGUCCCCUCUCACCCCAGUUCCCCACCCACCACCAGUGUCCCGAUACGCCAAGACAGCCACGCUCCACGGUUGUCGCUCCUGUUUCUCAGCAAAACUUCUAUUUUCCCAGAGAAGGGUUCAAAGCAACCACCUCUUAAAGUAAUUAAUAUGACCACGUGAAAGCUGUGUUCAUCCUGGAUUUUCUGUUACACUUCCCAUUUCAAGUCCACGGUCCUAUGGUUCUCAUGAACAGUUGGGAUUUACGUCUUGUAAAUCCCAACAUUUCAGCAUCCAAACUGUACCUCCUAGAUGUCUGGAAGUAGCACAACGCCCCUUUAUCCUACAUGUCUGGAUUCUGAGCCAUUGACCCUGCCCUCCAGGUGCUCUGUGUCUGGAUGGGAGACAACCCGGGUCCUGGCCAGGUGAAGUGGAGGGACAUGGGUGUCUGCAGGAGUCCAGGAAGAGGACCGCUGAUGGGAUAAGGAAUCCUGUUGCCAAAACAAGCCCGGAUGUCACACCAAUGGCGAGGUGUAAAAUUGCAGAUUCCUGGGCCCAGGAACAGCUGGUUCCCAGAGCCUUAGUUGGGGACAGCAAAGUACAGGCUAACCAGUAGCGACCUGAGGCCCAAUGGACUUUGCUGUUUGCUCUGCCCACUACUGAAUUACCUGGGCUUUACCCUUGUCUCCAAACAGCUACCAGAAACCAGAAAAAUCUGGCCAGGCAUGAGGUUAGAAUACAUUAAAGUUGCUGCUUCAGAACAGUUUGGAAAUCUUUACGGAGCAGGUUAGGCAGGUUCCCGAGCAGAAGGUCAUUCCCCUGCCGGGCCUGACAAGUGCACGUAUGCAGUCACCCCACAGAGCACAGGGAAAUGUCUGAUCGGCCACUAGGGAGCCCAGUGCUAAGGGCAAGGGCCCUGGUCUGGGACACAGCCCUACAGGGCCGCGUUACUCCCUAACACCCCAGGCCCCCGCGGCCUAACAAUGAUUUGUUAGAGGUUCCAUCCACCCAGAGCCUCCCCCCGCCAGCAAGAGCCCCUGCGACUUCAGAGAAAACCCACAGACAUCAGAGACAGCGUGCAGGGGUCAGCAAGAAGCCCCUGGAUGCAAACUCACUGGGGGAGGAAACGUAAGAAACGGAUAAAGCCAUAGUUGUUUUGUAUUCUCUCUCCAUCUGGGACGUACCACUGAAAUGUACAACAUCGCCAUUUUUGAAUACACUGUGCUUUCUAUUCCAUUCCAUUCCAACGUUACACUUGCUGGCAAGUCAGUGUUUCGUGCCCUUUCCAGCACCUGCCUACUGUUCAGCGAGCACUGAUUGGCACGUACUAUGUGGACGGGAUAGACCACUGCUUUGUGGCUAAACAAGAUGACUGCUCUCCAGAAACGUUCAAGUUCCAGGCUUGACAGGCUCUCAACUGGACCAGAAGUGACGGGUCACAACAGCUCUCAUCUCUGGAGCCCUUCCCAAGCCGCGCGGCUUCUGUUUCAGCCUACAGCUCACCUCCUCCACCAGGCUGCAUCCCUAGAGGCUGCCUGGAGUGGACUACACCCGGGCUUCCAUGCCCUCGGGCUUCUGCUGGGUUUGCACAACUGGGAGCCCAGCCAGAAGGGAAGGAGGGAGGGAGGGAGGAGACAAGGAGGCCACGGUCCCUGCAAGGCAGCCCUCCCCACCUCCGGGUCUGCGAAAGCCCCCUCCUGGGGCUGGUGCCUCCACAGCCACCAGCCAGGGCGGGCGGGCCCUGUGGCUCCCCUACCUGGUGAGUUACUCCUUUCUGACACACUCUUCAUGUCAGCCCCUCCCGCCAGCCCUGGCUGGCAUUUCUCCCGUGACUUUGGAGUUACUUAAUUAAAUCCUCAAACAGCACAAUGAGGGAAACUCCAGGCUGAACGCCAAAUGUCACUGGCUUCAGAAAAUGACUCAAGUGCAACCUUUCCUGAGGAGGAAUCUGUCAGCCGACUGGCUGGUUAGAGCAUGGCAGCAGUGAGACCACUCUGAGCCCCUCACUGCGUUUCUGGUUAAUUUAAUGCUGUGACAAGCUGUGUCACAGGCCUCAGGCUGCACCCCCCAACCCCCGGGGGCCCCGCCCAGACCAAGCACCCAGCACCACAGCAGAGACGCAGUGGCCCUGCCCCACUGCCUGCCCGGGAGAGGCAGCCCCGCAGCACGCGGGGGUAGAGAAGGGAGCGGAACUGCAGCGGGACCAAACCAUGGACUGGGGGCGGCAGGGAGGAUGCUCCCCACAUCACUUCUAGGCCAAGGCUGCCCUGUCUGUACCCGGUCUGUCCCCGUCUCUCCAGGAGCCGCAGGCCCGGCCUGAAGCAGAGCUGAAGACAGUUGCUCUCAGCUGCUGGGAGAGUCAUCGCUGGGAAAAGGGGGUGUUUGAAAUCCACACUCUGGAGCGGGCUCACUUUCCCCUCCUGUUGGUCCUUCAUUUAUUCGGCCAAUGAACUGGCCAGAUGUCUAUGCGGCGUCUACUGUUUUCAAGAAGAGCGCUGGGCUUCCUGCACCCUUCUCCCACCUCCUGCACCCUUUUCCUGGGUCGACCAAAGCACUUCUACCCCGUCUCCGGCUUGCUCUUCACCUCUGAAAUGACGCCUCCCCUCCUCUCCACUCCCCGGCAAGACAAUCUCCAUCCCUGGAAUCUUGAACCUCUUAGCCAUGUGUAAGGAAGAAAUUCCCUGGUUACUAGCUCAGCUAGGUGGCCUGACAGCUCUCCUGAACUCUCCCCGGCUCCUUAAACCAACUGGACCUCUAACUGGUGACCAUUACGGAAGUUUAUAUUGCUCCCUGGGUCCCGGCAAGGGGUCGCUGCGUUCUCUACCUGUGCUGGAGGAGGAAUAUGGAGAACCCCUCACCUCACCACAGCUUGACCACUCACCCGCUUCCGUCAAGGCAAACAUCUUCCUCUCAUCCCUGUCUCCCCUCUGCCCCUUCCCUGGACCCCGAGGCUCCGAAUGUCCCCUCCCCAGUGCAAUGAGAGGGCCUGACCCUCAUCAGGAACGGAGCCUCCAGACUCGUCUGCUGAAGAAUCCAGAGGAGGUGGGCUCAGAGCCACCAAGGGCCAGCUCCAGGGUCGGGGCCUUUACAAACCCCUCUGCGUGCGCGCUGCAGACACCAGGGGCUGACAGAGGACGCAGGAUGGGCCCUGGAACCAUCUGGGCACAGGGUGCAGAGACCCCACCUCGCACGGCAGCCCCUAGGCCUCGCCUCUGCCUCCACCCCUCUCACCCUGUGAAUGAGUUUCAGCUCCUUUCAGACCCCUGACCCCAUCUAGGGGCUCUCAUAAACCUGGUCAGGCAGGCUGGCAUGGAAAAAGAAGUUGAUACUAUCCUAGGAGCAUCUGGUCCCUCUGCAAACAUCUGGACAAGUCUGCACGGAAUGUUAGAAACCAACAAAAUGGGCCAAACAUUGACUAUAUAAAAAUACA